AAGUGAAAUAGAGGACAGUGGCGGACGGGUGAGUAACGCGUGAGGAACCUGCCUAUCAGAGGGGAACAACAGUUGGAAACGACUGCUAAUACCGCAUAUGCCACGAGAAUCACAUGGUUCAAGUGGGAAAGGAGCAAUCCGCUGAUAGAUGGACUUAUAUCUGAUUAGCUAGUUGGUGGGGUAAUGGCCUACCAAGGCGACGAUCAGUAGCCGGACUGAGAGGUUAAACGGCCACAUUGGGACUGAGAUACGGCCCAGACUCC
rnacentral:rRNA from 1 species